GGGGAAUAUUGCACAAUGGGCGCAAGCCUGAUGCAGCGACGCCGCGUGGGGGAUGACGGCCUUCGGGUUGUAAACUCCUUUCGCUAGGGACGAAGCUUUUGUGACGGUACCUAGAUAAGAAGCACCGGCUAACUACGUGCCAGCAGCCGCGGUAAUACGUAGGGUGCGAGCGUUGUCCGGAAUUACUGGGCGUAAAGGGCUCGUAGGUGGUUUGUCGCGUCGUCUGUGAAAUUCCGGGGCUUAACUCCGGGCGUGCAGGCGAUACGGGCAUAACUUGAGUACUGUAGGGGUAACUGGAAUUCCUGGUGUAGCGGUGAAAUGCGCAGAUAUCAGGAGGAACACCGAUGGCGAAGGCAGGUUACUGGGCAGUUACUGACGCUGAGGAGCGAAGGCAUGGGUAGCGAACAGGAUUAGAUACCCUGGUAGUCCAUGCCGUAAACGGUGGGCGCUAGGUGUGAGGGUCUUUUCACGACUUUCGUGCCGUAGCUAACGCAUUAAGCGCCCCGCCUGGGGAGUACGGCCGCAAGGCUA
rnacentral:rRNA from 1 species